UCCCUGGUGGUCCAGUGGGUAAGACUCUUUGCUCCUAACGUAGGGGGCCUGGGUUCGAUCCCUGGUCGGGGAA